GUCCCUCGAAACCAGCAGACCGGCGCACCGACCGGAAAUCCGAAUCCGACGCCGACGCCUAGCUCUCUCGAUCUCUCAAACCCAGCACAGACCGGACAAUCCAUCGCCGACGACGCUCUCUCUCUCUCGAACGGUCUGCUCCGGCGCCCACCGACCAGAUCUCCGACGCCUUUGAAGCCCAGCUCGCUCUUUCUUGCAACCAGCCGACCGGAUCUCCGACGAAGCCGACGACGCCAAGAUUGUAAAUUAUUACCUCAAAAUACUUCACAGAGAAAACGAUGGAGCAGGACCUUCAUCAUGAUCAAGCCCGAUGGCGUCCAGAGGGGCUUGCAUUACUCCAAACUCAGACUUGCCUCUAGGCAUUCGAUACAGAAAAAGUUCAGACAUAGAGAAUGGAGACACCGGGACAGUGGUUGGAGAAGGCGCUGGUGGAUCUAUGCCAAAGGGUGGAGACGGGUCUGGGUUUGGGUAUGGAUACCGAUAUGAUAUCGGGCUUGGUCUCCUAUUGCGAGCUUGCUCAUCCCCAAGACGCCAAAGAAUACCUUGACGAGUAACACCAAAGACAGCUUGAGGUGUGUGGGGGCAGGUUCAUGUUCCAUGAAGAGGUGUUGGG